rnacentral:rRNA from 1 species
UCGAGCGAGCGGAACUAACAGAUUUACUUCGGUAAUGACGUUAGGAAAGCGAGCGGCGGAUGGGUGAGUAACACGUGGGGAACCUGCCCCAUAGUCUGGGAUACCACUUGGAAACAGGUGCUAAUACCGGAUAAGAAAGCAGAUCGCAUGAUCAGCUUUUAAAAGGCGGCGUAAGCUGUCGCUAUGGGAUGGCCCCGCGGUGCAUUAGCUAGUUGGUAAGGUAAAGGCUUACCAGGGCGAUGAUGCAUAGCCGAGUUGAGAGACUGAUCGGCCACAUUGGGACUGAGACACGGCCCAAACUCCUACGGGAGGCAGCAGUAGGGAAUCUUCCACAAUGGACGCAAGUCUGAUGGAGCAACGCCGCGUGAGUGAAGAAGGUUUUCGGAUCGUAAAGCUCUGUUGUUGGUGAAGAAGGAUAGAGGUAGUAACUGGCCUUUAUUUGACGGUAAUCAACCAGAAAGUCACGGCUAACUACGUGCCAGCAGCCGCGGUAAUACGUAGGUGGCAAGCGUUGUCCGGAUUUAUUGGGCGUAAAGCGAGCGCAGGCGGAAGAAUAAGUCUGAUGUGAAAGCCCUCGGCUUAACCGAGGAACUGCAUCGGAAACUGUUUUUCUUGAGUGCAGAAGAGGAGAGUGGAACUCCAUGUGUAGCGGUGGAAUGCGUAGAUAUAUGGAAGAA